GCAGUCGUGGCCGAGUGGUCAAGGCACCAGAUUUAAAGUCUGGGGGUAUAUUUCCCAACGUGGGUUCGAAUCCCACCGACUGCA